CACCCCUUGGUGGCACGAUCAACCAAAAAAAAAAGGGUUUCAAAUCUGCUUACCUCCAAUAGAUGGCGGACGGCAACGACGGUGUUGGAGGCACAGACAGCAAUGGUGCGGGUGGCAACGGCGGUGGCAAUGGGGGAGAGGGGCUUGCUGGCAAGAAGAGGAGGGAGAGCUUGGAGAGGGAGAGAUGAAAGGGAGAGGGGAGAAGGAGAUAGGAGAGGGUAGAGGGGAGAGCUUAGGGAGAGAGGAGAGG
rnacentral:lncRNA from 1 species